AGUGAACGCUGGCGGUAGGCCUAACACAUGCAAGUCGAACGGCAGCACAGUAAGAGCUUGCUCUUACGGGUGGCGAGUGGCGGACGGGUGAGGAAUACAUCGGAAUCUACUUUUUCGUGGGGGAUAACGUAGGGAAACUUACGCUAAUACCGCAUACGACCUACGGGUGAAAGCAGGGGAUCUUCGGACCUUGCGCGAUUGAAUGAGCCGAUGUCGGAUUAGCUAGUUGGCGGGGUAAAGGCCCACCAAGGCGACGAUCCGUAGCUGGUCUGAGAGGAUGAUCAGGCACACUGGAACUGAGACACGGUCCAGACUCCUAAGGGAGGCAGCAGUGGGGAAUAUUUGACAAUGGGCGGAAGCCUGAUCCCGCCAUACCGCCUGGGUGAAGAAGGCCCUCGGGUUGUAAAGCCCUUUUGUUGGGAAAGAAAAGCAGCAGGUUAAUACCCCGCUGUUCUGACGGUACCCAAAGAAUAAGCACCGGCUAACUUCGUG
rnacentral:rRNA from 1 species